rnacentral:lncRNA from 1 species
CAUGGGCAGUAGUAAACCUUUUACAAGGGUGUGAGUAAUAAAAAAUAUGAAAAUAAGAGAAUAGUUGUGUUGGAGUCGGAAGUCGAGUGUAAACUUACACUCAGAUGUAAGCCACACGUGUCUUCCUGUGAGUGGUCUCGAUUUUUUCCUUCUGUUCUAUGAGAGAGAGAGAGACGAAGGGAGACGAAGGAGACGAUGACGAGCAAAGACGAAUUUUCCCGAGAUCGAGCUGCGAUCCGAUGCGCAAGAGCUACGAUGCUCCUCUAUUCAUUGGCGUCAUCCCGCACAACCGACACCGCCGGCGAGGUUAGAUCCUUCUUCUUUCCUUCUUUCGAUUGGAAUCGAUUUUGCUACAAUUCGAUCUGUAACUCCGAAAUUGCCAUGCGAAAUCUCAUCUCUGAUGUUUGUUUGGAAGCAGAAGGAAUGACAGACGCAAAGAGAAAUAGAGGAUCUGAAGAGAAAGCUUGCCAUGGGGAAGAAAAAGAUGAAUCAGAUUAUUUUAUUAAUAAAAUCCCAUUAACACAUACCCAUCCACUUGCCCCACUGCUGAUGCUCUA